GUUUGACCUCGGAUCAGGUAGGGAUACCCGCUGAACUUAAGCAUAUCAUA
rnacentral:rRNA from 3 species